rnacentral:rRNA from 1 species
GAUGAACGCUGGCGGCGUGCCUAAUACAUGCAAGUCGAGCGAACAGACGAGGAGCUUGCUCCUCUGACGUUAGCGGCGAACGGGUGAGUAACACGUGGAUAACCUACCUAUAAGACUGGGAUAACUUCGGGAAACCGGAGCUAAUACCGGAUAAUAUAUUGAACCGCAUGGUUCAAUAGUGAAAGACGGUUUUGCUGUCACUUAUAGUUGGAUCCCCGCCGCAUUAGCUAGUUGGUAAGGUAACGGCUUACCAAGGCAACGAUGCGUAGCCGACCUGAGAGGGUGAUCGGCCACACUGGAACUGAGACACGGUCCAGACUCCUACGGGAGGCAGCAGUAGGGAAUCUUCCGCAAUGGGCGAAAGCUUGACGGGGCAACGCGGCGUGAUGGAUGAAGGUUUUCGGAUCUUAAAACUCUGUUAUUAGGGAAGAACAAAUGUGUAAGUAAAUAUGCACGUCUUGACGGUACCUAAUCAGAAAGCCACGGCUAACUACGUG